UACGGAGGGUGCAAGCGUUAUCCGGAUUUACUGGGUUUAAAGGGAGCGCAGGCGGAUUGGUAAGUCAGUGGUGAAAUACCCGUGCUUAACAUGGGAACUGCCAUUGAUACUAUCAGUCUUGAAUGUUGUUGAGGUUUGCGGAAUGGGUCAUGUAGCGGUGAAAUGCAUAGAUAUGACAUAGAACACCAAUUGCGAAGGCAGCUUACUACACGAUCAUUGACACUGAGGCACGAAAGCGUGGGGAGCAAACAGG
rnacentral:rRNA from 1 species